rnacentral:rRNA from 1 species
GACGGAGGAUGCAAGCGUUAUCCGGAAUUAUUGGGCGUAAAGCGUCCGCAGGUGGCUGUUCAAGUCUGCUGUCAAAGCGCAGAGCUUAACUCUGUACAGGCGGUGGAAACUGAAGAGCUAGAGUAUGGUAGGGGUAGAGGGAAUUCCCGGUGUAGCGGUGAAAUGCGUAGAUAUCGGGAAGAACACCAGUGGCGAAAGCGCUCUACUGGGCCAUAACUGACACUGAGGGACGAAAGCUAUGGGAGCGAAAGGG